CCAGGACACCCACAUUCCACCACCCAUGGGAAUGCUGCAGAGUAAGAAGAAAGUUCACCUUGGAAGUAAACACUGAGUGUGGUCCACGCACCCCCAAUGUCCUGGACUGAGAGGCAGCACCACAGUUUUCUUCAUUGGCCAGGCUGACCUGUUCCACAGUGCAGCAGAGUGCAUGGGUUUCUCCACCAGCAGAGUGAGCUACUUCAUGUGAGAUUCAUGGAAAUGCAGGGAUUCACUGCCCUCACUGGGGGGCCAAACACAUGACAGGCAAUUGGAGAAAGAAUGUGGAGGAAUCGUUGGAGAAAUCAGAGGCCAGGACACAAGAGUGAAAAGAAAUCAUUGAGAAUAAGUGUGGGGCUAUAAGCUUGCACAGGCAGUAUGGUCUCCAGUCGAGCUCAGGCUUAGAACCCCAGAGACCCAGCAGGUGACUUUUGCCUGUAAGGGAAGUCAGGUGUUCGGCCAUGCCCCUUGGGUCCCUGGCUCCUGUCAAAGCUACAGCCUCCCACAGCUCCCCCAUCCGCACAGAGAGGUGUGUGGCCAUCAGUGUGUGUGGCCAUCAGAAGCAGCAGCUAU
rnacentral:lncRNA from 1 species